rnacentral:lncRNA from 1 species
GAAGUGUCUAGGCAGCCAUGUUUCUCACCCGUGUGUGUUGUUUUUAGUCAAUCCCAGUCAUUAAGAUUGACUAGAAGGAACAGACUAUAACUCUCUUGGUCAUCACCCUACGCAGAAAACAAAGCUUUCAGAAUCAGGACACAAAGGACUCAAAGUGGAGAGCAGAAGUGCAGCACGGAGGAAACGCAGAGAAGCCAUUUCUAGGGGAGAUGAGACAAAUUUGAGAGCUCACUCUUGUCUCCCAGCUAACAUCACCUGAAAUGAAAACCUUUUCCUUUCCAUAAGCCUGGUGUUCCAGUUUUGAUUUGGCCCUUCUGUGUGGUAGGCAAAGAACCUAUGUUUGCAUCUGCUAACAAUUUGGCAAGCUAGCCAGCAGGCUCCACGGCCCCAGGUGAGUUGGGAUUUCCUGGGAAGCAGUCCAACAGCUGCCUAGGUGAUUUGCCCUAGGGACUGCCCCCAAGUACCUUCUGUCUGACCUGGCACUGCUGAUCCUAGGCAUAUUUUCUUCUGAUUUAAGAAAAUCUUUUUCUCUUAAGGAAAUAUGACUGACAGCAAUUUGUAAGCAAAAUUGAAGUAUUUAUCUUUUUCUCCCUACCUGAUCCCUCCAGAAAUUGGAAACUCUUGCUUCCUGGCACAGGAAUCCAGCAUCCACUAUGGAGCCAAACAACCACAGACAUCCACCUGCAAAUUCCCUUAUCUCACCAUCCUCCUCCUUGCAAGCAGCCUCAAAGGGACAAAUGCAGACUGGUGGGGAAGCACCAAUUAGCAAGGCCACAGGCUUCCCCUCCCUACAAGCAGCUGCAUUCCUCACAACCUUUAAAACCCCUUGCCUCCCAUCUUUCAGGGAGAUGAGACAAAUUUGAGGGCUCACUCUUGUCUCCCAGCUGACAUCAGCCAAAAUAAAAACCCUUUCUUUGCCAUAAA